UCAAAGAUUAAGCCAUGCAUGUCUCAGUAUAAGCAACUUGUACGUGUGAAACUGCGAAUGGCUCAUUAAAUCAGUUAUAAUUUAUUUGAUAGUGGCUUUACUACAUGGAUAGCCGUAGUAAUUCUAGAGCUAAUACAUGCAUGAAGACCCGACUCCUCGUAAGGGAAGGGUUGUAUUUAUUAGAUCGAAAACCAACGCAGAGAGAUUUUUUGUAUGAUUUUUCGGAAUGAUACGAUGAACUCUCUCGAAUAAAUGGUGAGUCAUGAUAAAUGUCGAAUCGAAGUAAUAUUCGAUGUGUCAUUCAAAUUUCUGCCCUAUCAACUUGUUGGUAGGAUAGGGGCCUACCAUGGUGUUGACGGGUAACGGAGGAUUAGGGUUCGAUUCCGGAGAGGGAGCCUGAGAAAUGGCUACUACUUCUAAGGAAGGCAGCAGGCGCGCAAAUUACCCAAUCCCAAUUAUAUUGGGGAGGUAGUGACAAAAAAUACCGAUGCUGGAUCUUCGGAUUCAGUAAUUGGAAUGGUGUGGAAGCAAAACGUCCAUAGAGCAGCCAUUAGAGGGCAAGUCUGGUGCCAGCAGCCGCGGUAAUUCCAGCUCUAAUAGUGUAUACUAAAAUUGCUGCAGUUAAAAAGCUCGUAGUUGGAUUUUGGAUGGAACAUUACACCUUUAUGUUUUGCUGUAUGUAUCGGUUACAUAUAUGUCUGUUUCUUGAGACAUUAUGUGACUUGCGUAUGGUCGUAAAGGUUGUUUCGUCCGGUUAUUUAAUAAUUAUUUUUCGAAAGUAUACCAUCCCCUUCAUUGGGCGAUGGUGUAAGUUCGGAGGCUUUACUUUGAAGAAAUUGUAGUGUUUAAAGCAGGCGUUUUGCAGCUGAACACAUUAGCAUGGAAUAAUAAAAUAGGACAUCUGAGCUAAGUACUCGACUUUCCUCCCUCAAUAAUCUUCCAAAUACAUUCCCUAUGUGUAGGGUCCUUUGAUUUUCCUUUCUGGGGAGGAAGGAAAGAAGGAGGAGGGUAGAGAAGUAAGGAGGGUAAGAAGGAGUUGGAUAUUUCUUAACGGGGAUAUUUAAUUUCUUUUUGUUUCUUCUUCUUUUCUUUCUUUCUUUCUUUCUUCUUUUUCUUUCCUUUGAGGAAGAAGGAUUUUUUAUUAUAGGCUAGAAAGUAUUUGAGAUAAUUGAGUGAUAUUUUUUUAUAAUUUAAAAAAAGGGGCUUGGAGAUUAGGCUUAGCUAUCAUAUAGUAUAUCUAUUUUGUUGGUUUAUGGAGAAGGUGUAAUGAUUAAUAGGGACAGUUGGGGGCAUCCGUAUUGCAUUGUCAGAGGUGAAAUUCUUGGAUUUAUGCAAGACGAACUAGUGCGAAAGCAUUUGCCAAGGAUGUUUUCAUUAAUCAAGAACGAAAGUUAGGGGAUCGAAGGCGAUCAGAAACCGCCGUAGUCUUAACUAUAAACUAUACCAACUAGGGAUUGGAGAGUGUUUUAUAAUAGCCUCGUCAGCACCUUUAGAGAAAUCAAAGUCUCUGGGUUCUGGGGGGAGUAUGGUCGCAAGGCUGAAACUUAAAGAAAUUGGCGGAAGGGCACCACCAGGUGUGGAGCCUGCGGCUUAAUUCGACUCAACACGGGGAAACUCACCAGGUCCAGACACGGGAAGGAUUGACAGAUUGAUAGCUCUUUCUUGAUUCUGUGGGUGGUGGUGCAUGGUCGUUCUUAGUUGGUGGAGUGAUUUGUCUGGUUAAUUCCGAUAACGGACGAGACCUUAACCUGCUAAAUAGCUCAGUCUCAAAAGUUUUCUUUUGAGAUUAGUGAUGAUUUCUUUCAUUUCUUUCUUUUCGGAGGAGGAAUGGGAGGAGUUGUUGUUGAUAGAGAGCUUCUUAGAGGGACUACCAUGGUUGCACAUGGUGGAAGCUUGAGGCAAUAACAGGUCUGUGAUGCCCUUAGAUGUCCUGGGCCGCACGCGCGCUACAAUGAUGCAAUCAACAAGGUUGUGCUUUGCCCGAAAGGGUUGGCUAAUCUUUGAAAACUGCAUCGUAAUGGGGAUUGAUCUUUGUAAUUUUGGAUCAUGAACUAGGAAUACCUAGUAAGUGCAACUCAUCAGGUUGCGCUGAUUACGUCCCUGCCCUUUGCACACACCGCCCGUCGCUCCUACCGAUUGAAUGAUCAGAUGAAAUGCUCGGAUGCGUGGCGCGUCUUCCUUUCACGAGGGAGUGUGCUGUGCAGAAGAGUAGUAAAUCUUAUUAUUUAGA
rnacentral:rRNA from 1 species